CCUCUGGCAUGGGUACCUCCGUCUCCUUCAGUUGCAGGUCUGCCAUUGGACGAGGCCGAGGACUGAGAGGAAUCUCUGGCUCCUCCUCCUCAUCGUCACCUAGGCAACAAGCCAAUCAAAGCAUCAGACUGACCUAACGUGACAGGUGGUUUUGACCUUGGCUGUGGUGGGAAUCCCGUCAAUCUUGGCUCUCUGCUCGGCUAGUUUCUUUGCCAGCAUGGCCUUUUCUUCCUCGGCCUUAUCAGACUCUCCGCCUCAGCCAGGUUAUCCACCGCAAUUGCCAGGAAGACGUUCAAGAGGAUGUCUGCAGUUUACCGCUCAGGAAAAUCAUAUUCUUUAUCCAUAUCACAGGCCAUUUCUACAACUCGCACAUUUGUGUUGCAUGAAGGAUACAGUUUCCACAGAUGAACAGGAUGAUGAAGUAAAUGCUGACCAGGAUUCCAGGCAUGGCAGGACCUCCGUGAGCCAUGAUGCCAUCAUACAUGACGUAGUUCCAGCCUUCACCUGUCAGGAUCUAAAACAGAGACACUGUUCAGGCACUGUGAAUCGAAACAUCGUGCUCAUCAUAUGAAUGAAAAACUCACCUGGAAAACCGUGAUCAGAGCCUGAGGAAAAUUGUCAAAGUUGCUUCGUCUCACGUGCUCAUCUGGAAAAUUAAACUUCCCUCCGAAAACCUGCAUACCGAGCAGGGAGAAGAUGACGAUGAAGAGGAAGAGGAGCAGCAGGAGCGAGGCAAUGGAUCGCACAGAGUUCAAGAGAGACGCCACAAGAUUGUUGAGUGAUGUCCAGUACCUGAAAAUCAUGCACAAUUCCAGUAAAUUCUGAUGCAGACGUGCAAGCUUCGUUCUUCGCGGUGGUGCCAAGAACAGUGUUGGUUAUAAUCACGUACCGGGUUACUUUGAAGAGGCGCAGCAGCCGAAUACAACGCAGUAUGGAGAUCCCCAUGACGGACAUAAUAUCCAUGCGUACGAGAAUGAUCUCAAAGAUUCCCACAGACACCACAAAGCAGUCAAAACGGUUAAAGAGGGACAUGAAGUACGACGGCAGGCCCAUCGCGUACAUCUUCAUAAACAUCUCCACCGCAAACAGAGACAACAGCACCUUAUUGGUAUUGUCUGCAAAUAAGAAGAACGGAAGUCAUACAGGUUUGAAACAAGGCUCCAGGCCUAUGAUGGCGUAGAUGGUGACCAUGAAGAAGACCAGCAGAGAGAUGUGGAAUAGUGGCAGCAUGGAUUUGAGAAUGGAGCUCAUCACUACCUGCAGGCCUGGAGGAGACAUUACACGUGAACCAGCCAAC